rnacentral:rRNA from 1 species
AUGGAGCAGCUGGCGGCGGAGGGGAGCGCGUGCCAGACGGCGGCCGUGCGGGCGCUGUGGGCGGGCGCCGUGCGGGACCCGGCCGCCGGGGUGCUGGCCGGGGAGCGCCACCUCAGGGGCCUCCACGAGAGGAUGCGCCGCGACGAGCGCACCGGCGCGCGCGAGGUGCACGGGGUCAUGAUCGCCGUGCGCACGCUCUGGUUCAACGCCCGCAUCGAGGCCGCCGUCGCCGGCCUCGUCGGCGCCGCGCAGGUCGUCCUCCUCGGCGCAGGUUCGUCACGCCUACACAAGUAA